rnacentral:tRNA from 1 species
ACUAUUUUGACAGAGAAAUGUAAUGAUUUUAGAAGUCAUGUAUAUAUAAUUAAAUUAUAUAGAUAGUA